AUACGGAGGGGGUUAGCGUUGUUCGGAAUUACUGGGCGUAAAGCGCACGUAGGCGGAUUGGAAAGUUGGGGGUGAAAUCCCAGGGCUCAACCCUGGAACUGCCUCCGAAACUAACAGUCUAGAGUUCGAGAGAGGUGAGUGGAAUUCCAAGUGUAGAGGUGAAAUUCGUAGAUAUUUGGAGGAACACCAGUGGCGAAGGCGGCUCACUGGCUCGAUACUGACGCUGAGGUGCGAAAGCGUGGGGAGCAAACAGGAUUAGAAACCCUAGUAGUCC
rnacentral:rRNA from 1 species